UACACCCAACCUCUGCUA
rnacentral:tRNA from 1 species